GGAGAUCUUUGUGGGCUAUACUCGGCCUUGUCUCAGGAUGGUAAGUUGGUGGUUGAAGGUAUCCCUCUAGUGGUGUGGGGGCUGUGCAUUGGCAAAGUGUGUGGGGUUAUAUCCUUCCUGUUUGGCCCUGUCCGGGGGUAUCAUCGGAUGGUGCCACAGUGUCUCCUGACCCCCAGAGUAAUGACUGUCAGGUUGGCUGGUCUAUAGCUGCCUCUACUGUGUCCAGAGUAAUGACUGGCAGGUUGGCUGGUCUAUAGCUGCCUCUACUGUAUCCAGAGUAUUGACUGGUAGGUUGGCUGGUCUAUAGCUGCCUCUACUGUGUCCAGAGUAUUGACUGGUAGGUUGGCUGGUCUAUAGCUUCCUCUACUGUGUCCAGAGUAAUGACUGGCAAGUUGGCUGGUCUAUAGCUGCCUCUACUGUGUCCAGAGUAAUGACUGGUAGGUUGGCUGGUCUAUAGCUGCCUCUACUGUGCCCAACUGACUCAUUAUUAUAAAUGUAAUGCAUCAUUAUUACAAAGCAGCAAACAGCGUAUUGUUAUUAAUAUUGUGUUUACUAAUAGGUUGUAAAAACAGUAAAAAGUCACCAGUACUCACAUACUGUCUCUACUCUCCACAAUGUCUAGAGUGCUCUUCUUUGACUGCUUUAUGGAUAGAAUAACCAUUCUAUUGUUAAUUGUUAGUGUAAUGUAUUCACCUCUUAAUCACAGGUACCACAAACAUGACUAUAACUAAACAACAAAAAGGCCAACAUUUACAGGGAACUUAUAGCUGGACCCCAUCACGGCCGGGAUUAAUACAUUCACACACACGCUCACGCACACACACACACACACACAGUGAUAUACCGCUGACACACACACACACACACACACACACACACAUUGAGACGGAUGUCAAGUGACAUUCAAAGAUACACAGGCGGAUAUAGAACUGGCAUAUUUACAUAGAUACGUAAAAACAUCCAUGUGCAGAAGUGACAUAUUCACACAGACACAGAAGCUCAUCCACUUACAUGGCCCUUCCUGCAAACUCUGACACGUAUGCAAACAUAACUGACAUUCACACUCACACACACUGUACAUACACUCCCACAAACUGGAAGUGACUAAGAGCAGGCUGGCCAGAUAGGUUGGGCAGGGGGAGACG
rnacentral:lncRNA from 1 species